GGUGGUAAGACCACGCCGUUUCAAGAUGGCGAGUGUUUCUGGAAGGGACAGAACACGGAGGUUAAAUUUGCCCUUGGAAGUCUCGCUACGUUGGUUUUGGGUGGUUACUGUUACAGUCUUCUUUCUCUGAAACAUGUUUGGGGAAGAUGAUACUGUAUACCUGACCAUGUUCCUGUGUUCCAGUGGGACCUGUCAGCUCUCCUGUGGGACCUGUCAGCUCUCCUGUGGGACCUGUCAGCUAUCCUGUGUGCCUGUCCAUAUUCCAGGAGGACCUGUCUGUGUUCCUGUGGGACCUGUCAGCUCUCCUGUGUGCCUGUCCAUAUUCCAGGAGGACCUGUCUGUGUUCCUG